rnacentral:lncRNA from 10 species
UUUGUCACCCAGGCUGGAAUGCAGUGGCAUGAUGAUAGUUCACUACACCGUUGAAUUCCUGGGCUUAAGUGAUUCUCCCGCAUCAGCCUCCCCCGUAUACACCCAUUUCUCAGUUCAGUGAAUCAACUGGAUGUUGCCGUAUGUUGGAAGACAUACCUUCAUCUUACAUCCUUGAUUUCUGUGAAUUCGCACCUGAAAGACAACAGAUCUCAUAUCAAGCUUACUGAAAACAACAACAAAAAACCCCAUAAAACUUUCAAAUACCAAGUUUUCUUUGUUCAGCCAAUGAGUAUUCAUUGUGCACCCAUGAGGGGCUAAUGCCACUCUGCAAGGCCUUUUGAGAGAGGGCAGAGGAUGCCUGGCUCAGGGCCACUUUCCACUUAGAAAUAUCUACAGGCUUUUUUCUCUGUUCCCUCCUCCACUUGAGCCUUUCUCAGUGUCUGAUGUGGCACUGUUGUCACCAGAUGGUCACUCAACCUUUCAAAAGCUUUGCUAAUUUUCACUAGCUUCCUGCCUGGCAAAAAUGGGAGAAAAUUAAGUUCUGCUUUGCAGAUGCGGCUUGUGAAAACCAUUCAUUGUGGCAUUCAUUGCAGCCACCCUUCAUGAUCACUCCUGGGGCUGUCCUUUCUUUGGUGGAAGGCUUUUGGAUUUAGGGAAAGUGCCUUAGCACACAGCAGCGUUUUCACUAACAAUUGGUUGUAAAAUCUUGGGGUCACUCUCGAGAUGGAAGAAGUCUGAGAGAUUAUCUGGUGUAACAUUCAUGUUUCCAAAAGGAAACUGAGAUCCAAAAAGCCAAAUCCUUUGGCCAAAAACACAUGGCCUAAUUUUACUCACUUUCUGUGAUUUGGGGCUAGUUUCCAAAAGUCUUCAGCACUGUGUUUUUUUCUUUUUUUCUUUUGCUCAUGGAUACUUCUGACAGUCAUUCUUGUACUCCUCAAGUUAUUAAGGUUCAAUGUAGUCAAAUUCAACUUUACUCAGAUUCCACUGGAGGGUAGGUCAUACAAUUGUAAAGAAGCAGACAGGUUGUGUUGCAGGACAUACCAAGAUUGUUUAGUUCUGAUUAAUACUAAAAAUCCAGCUGGGUGCAGUGGUUUAUGCCUGGAAUUCCAGCACUUUGGGAGGCCGAGGCGGGUGGAUAACUUGAGGUCAGGAGUUUGAGACCAGCCUGGCCAACAUGGUAUGAAACCCUGUCUCUACUAAAAAUACAAAAAUUAGCCAGGUGUGGUGGCACAUGGCUCUAAUCCCAGCUACUCACGAGGCUGAGGCAUGAGAAUCGCUUGAACCUGGGAGGCAGAGGUUGUAGUGAGCUGAGAUCAUGCCACUGCACUCCAGCGUGGGCGACAGUAUAAAACUAUGUCUCCGCACCCCCCCGCCAAAAAAAAACCAUUGAGGCAGCUGCCUCAGCAGGAAGACAUGUGGCUCUGCCCCUGUUGUUUCUAGGACCCUGAGCAUUUGGUGGCAUUGAUUUGUCUUCCAGUGUUAUUUGUUUUAUUCAUCUUUGUUGUAGACAAGUCGUGACCAAGAUCCUCUAAGAGACAGCUGUGGUAGGCAGGCUUCUCAGAUGGCCCAUGAUGAACACCACUGCCUGGUUUGAUGGCCAUGUGCUAUUCUCUCCCCUUGAACAUGGGUUAAGCCUAGUGACCUGCUUGUAACCAACCAACUCCAGCUAAGCUGAAGGGAUGCCACAGUUUUCAAGCUUCAAGGAUUAGCUUACAAAAGACUGUGACUUCCUUUUUGCUGAUGGACUCUCUUUAUUGCCUUCUUGGCUUGAAGACUUUGAGGAAGCAAGCUGCCAUGAUGAAGAAGCCAACAUGACAAGGAACUUCUGAGGGUGGCUGCCAGCCAACAGCAGCAAGGAACUGAGACUAUAAGUUCAACUGUCUGAGAGGAACUGAAUCCUGAAAACAGUCUCAUGAGCUUGGAAGCAAGUCUUCCCCAGUUGAGCCAUAAGAUGGCUACAGCCCAGCUCACACCUUGAUUGCAGCCUGCGGAGAGACCCCGCAGUGGAAGAUGCAGUUACACCCUUCCCAGCUCCCUGACUUACAGAAGCUAUGAGAUAAUAAACAUGUGUUGGUUUAAGCUGCCACAUUUGAAGAAAUGUGUUAUGUAGCAAUAGAUAACUAAUAUGAUAGGAAAAAAGGAAACUGUCAGCCUCGUCUAAGGGACCAGAGCUGCCAGGAAAGAACCAUGAUCAGUGUUGUUCAGAGAACCAGGAGAAAUUGCUGCAAGAUCAGUCUUACGAAUUCUCUCUGCUGCAGCUUUGCUCCUGGACCACUUCUGAGAGGGAUCAUGGGGCCUAUGAGAAAUUUUCUGGGUCUUCUGCAGGCCUCACUGGAAAUGAGGGGGCCUGGGGUGGGGACCUCCCAGCCCUUCUGCGCUUGGCCCCCGCCCCAUCCUGUUCUUCUGGAGCUGCUCCGUGUUGGGCAGGCAGUCUGGGAAGCUGCCUCGCCUUAGGAUUCCAAAUGGAAACAGCUUUCUGCCUUUGGAUUCUCAUACAUAUGAUGGAGAUUUCUUUCCUACCCCUCACAUCCAUCAGCCUGGAUUAUCAACCACGGUCUCUCCUUUUCCCCCAACCUGCUGAAACAAUCAGCAGUAUCUGAUUUUUUUUUCUCUUUCCAGGCUCUUAACUACAGCAAAAUAAGAAACUGAAACAAGCAAACAAAAAGGCGUGGGCAGUGUUAAUUCCUUUCGCCAGUGUUAGGAGCUAUCCUGCAGCCUUCCUUAUUCCAAUGUUAACUGAGACAGACUCUUUGCCUAGGUAUCCAACCUCUGUCUUCAUCUUCCUAUCAAAGCCCGCUUAGUUUUGAGAGCAAUACUUUUCCCUCAACUAGUUCUAAGCUUUUGCUAGUUUAAAAGCACUUUGGUGUAAGAUCAACAUGAAAGUCAUGUUAAAAAGAAAAAUCAUCAUUCACCACUUCAACUGACCCCAUGUGUUGUUAGUCUGGGCCUGACCCCCCAAUGAAUGUCACUGAGCUAGUGGGAGAAGAGAAGCAUACCUCAUUAAAAGUAUGUAAAGAUAUUAUUCUCUCCCUCUGCCACCCUGGCAUAGCCCCC